ensembl:lncRNA
CAGAAAGGGGAGGGGGAGAGAGAGGGGGAGGGGAUCCCAGAGAGAGAUUGACGUUUUGGUAGAAAUAUUUAUUACAAGCUAGAGACGGACAGAGAGGAUGAGGGGGAGAUAGAGGAGAACAGACGGAGGGAGAGGAUCUGAGACACGGCUGAGAGAGAGAUAGAUCUGUUUGUGUCUGUAAAAUGUAUUAUGCAAGAAAUGGCGGUGGAAAUGACUUACUAUGCAAAUACUGAUAUAAAAACCAUCAUAUGGAAGUAAAGUUGGAGUCGCGUGAUAUGGUGUGUGGUCCUCCCACUUCGACUCAGGAAACCAUGCCGUUUAUGAGGCUACACAUGAAAUAAGUUACGAUGAACUUCACAGGGUGGUGAAAGUGCACUGGGAUCUUGAUGCUCCUUUACAAUAGAAGUGGUGACAUGAUGAUCGAUGCUUGAAUGUUGUUUGACGAAUACCUCUCUUAUCCAUAAUAAUGUCCUCGUGUAGACUAGCCUACCAGCGCUCUCUCUUAUCCAUAAUAAUGUCCUCGUGUAGACUAGCCUACCAGCGCUCUCUUUAUCCAUAUAAUGUCUCGUGUAGACUACGGCCUACCAGGUCUCUCUUAUCCAUAAUAAUGUCCUCGUGUAGACUAUGCCUACCAGCGCUCUCUCUUAUCCAUAAUAAUGUCCUCGUGUAGACUAGCCUACCAGCGCUCUCUCUUAUCCUAUAAUGUCCUCGUGUAGGACUAGCCUACCAGCGCUUCUCUCUUAUCCAUAUAAUGUCCUCGUGUAGACUCGCCUACCAGCGCUCUCUCUUUAUCCAUACUAAUUGUCCUCGUGUAGACUAGCCUACCAGCGCUCUCUUAUCCAUAAUAAUUGUCCUCGUGUAGACUCGCCUACCAGCGCUCUCUCUUAUCCAUAAUAAUGUUCCUCGUGUAGACUCGCCUACCAGCGCUUCUCUUAUCUCCUAUAAUGUCCUGUGUAGACUAGCCUACAGCGCUCUCUCUUAUUCCAUAAUAAUUUUCUCGUUAGACUAGCCUACCAGGCGCUCUUCUUAUCCAAAUUAAUGUCCGUCGUGUAGACCUGCCUCCAGCGCUCUCUUAUCAAUGAUUACAUGUCUCGUGUGGACUGAGCCUACCAGCGCUCUCCUCUUAUCUAUCAUAAUGUCCUCGUGUAGACUAGCCAGUACCAGCGCUCUCUCUUAUCAUUAAUAAUGUCCUUUGUAGACUAGCCUACCAGCGCUCUCUUUAUCCAUAAAAUGUCCUCUGUAGGACUAGCCUACCAGCGCUCUCUGCCAGCUGUUGGCUAGAGCGCAUUGACAGACCAGAGUGGCUGGUCUGCUUUUCACCUAGCUAGUGACACAGACUGUUGUUUAUUUCACCUAGCUAGUGACAGACUGUUGUUUAUUUCACCUAGCAGUGACAGACUGUUGUUUAUUUCCACCUAGCUAGUGACAGACUGUUGUUUAUUUCACUAGCUAGUGACCAGACUUUGUUUAUUUCACACUAGCUAGUGACAGACUGUGUUUAUUUCACCUAGCUCGUGGACAGACUGUUGUUUAUUUCACCUAGCUAGUGGACAGGACUGUUGUUUUAUUUCACCUAGCGUAGUGGACAGACUGUUGUUUAUUUCACCUAGCUAGUGACAGCAAUGUUGUUUAUUUCACCUAGCUAGUGACAGACUGUUGUUUAUUUCACCUCAGCUAGUGACAGACUGUUGUUUAUUUCACCUAGCUAGUGACACGACUGUUGUUUAUUUCACCUAGUAGUGGACCCGACUGUUUUAUUAUUCACUAGUAGUGACAGACUUGUUGUUUAUUUCACCUAGCUAGUGACAGACUGUUGUUUAUUUCACCUAGCUAGUGACAGACUGUUGUUUAUUUCACCUAGCUAGUGACAGACUGUUGGUUAUUUUACUUGGUAAUGUAAGCACAUUUCCCAUGCCAAUAAAGCCCAUGAGAGUCAGAGAGAGAUGGCUAAGGGAGGAGGCCAGAGCAACGCAAGCAAAGAGUCUCAGACUGUGUUUAAAGCGUGUAUAUGCAUGAAGUAUGUGUGUGUAUCAGUAUAAAUGUGUGUGUGUUUGUGUGUGUGUAUCAGUAUAAAUGUGUGUGUGUUUGUGUGUGUGUGUAUCAGUAUAAAUGUGUGUGUGUGUAUCAGGUCUGAAGCAGGUCUUGUAUCCAGGUCUUGAUGGCGUUGCUGGUGUCUUGUAGCAGGAGCCAGGUAGAGUUGGUCAGAGAGAGGGCGUAGGUCUGGAGACAUGAUACAGACACCUCCCCACUGGAACACAGACAGACGGAAUUAAUACACAGAUACCCAGGAACAAUCACACCACUAUUAAACACAUUUACUGGAUAAUUAACAGAAGCGAUAUGGCAAUCUAUCGUAACUUUGGUCAUUUAUACAAAUGUAUUGAUAUUAGAGGUCUUCAUGGAUCCACCUGUAUCCAGAAUCUAAAUAAUGUUCCUGGGUUGGAUCUGAUAUAUUUCCACCGGGUCUUUGGGU